UGGGGGGGGGGUGAAUGAACAAAUUCCUAUGCCUCACAAAUAACCCAGAGGUGCAUUUUAAAUAAAAGCACACAUUCUGCUCAUGUAAAAACACCAGGCAGGCCCCACAAAUAACCCAGAGAUGCAUUUUAAAUAAAAGGACACAUUCUACUCAUGUAAAAAAAAACAUGCUGAUUCCCAGACCGUCCACGGGCCAGAUUUAGAAGGCGAUUGGGCCGGAUCCAGCCCUCGGGCCUUAUUUUGCUUACCCAUGCCCUAAACAUUUUGUGAAUCUAAGUUUGGCCUCAGUGAGGGACAGUAUUUCAAUAUGAGUAGGAAAAUGAGAGUACCCCUAAACAUUUUUUUUUGGGGGGGGAAGCACUGGAAGACUCCAUUUAGUGCAUCCAUUGCACUGAAUAUUAAUAUGAAUUGUAUUUUAUUCCUUCCUUUAUUUAUUACAUUGCAUUUUAUUGUAUUGGAAAUUUAAUUCUAUAAAAUUCCAAUUGCUGUAACGUGUAGAAAAACAACUGUGGUCUGCAAUAUUCCAGUGGUCCAUGGUCCAGGAGGUGGGGUGAGUAUGGGAACCAAGGAAUCAGCAGCUUUCAUACUGUCAUCAGAGGAACCCUAUGGUUCAAUGAGAACAUCAGUAAAAGGGUUGAUGGAGCGGCCAAGUCAUCAAAAUGAGGAUGGAGAUGCACUUGGUUCCUGCCAUCUGGAUUCUGUCAAGGUGUGGAGCAGGAGCACUUUUGAGAUCAUGUCACAGCCCUAGUUUUACACCCAAAUCACAGGGAAUAUAAAACAAGAACAGUGGCUUUGUUAUUGCAGCAAAUUUCUCCCACCGAAGAAAUAAUGGAACAAAUCCACCAUGCCUCUUAAAAAGCUUAUUCCUAUGGGCCAGGCAUGUCCAAAGUCUGUUUUGGGGGCCUAAUCCGGCCUGCUGGUUGGUUUAAUCCGGCCCCUGUGGCAGUUUAUUUCCUGGGGUAAAAUCCCCCCCCCCAAAGCUCAACAACUUAAAUCCUUAAAAACCUCAACCACUUUGGGGUAAAAAAGCUCAAAAACUUCACUCCUAAAAAAAAGCUCAAAAGUUUGCUUCAUCAAAUCUGGCCCUCUUUGAAAAAAGUUUGGGCACCCCUGCUAUAGGCCAAACACUUUUAAACUGAAGUCUCAAAGAAGAACUCACAGGGUGUGCGCUUAUGAAGUGUAAAUCAGACAGUAAUCAGGAAGAUAGUAUGGGCAAUUGCAAUCACGUAAAUUCCUCUCUCGACGUCUGCGUUUAUGGCUUUUCAGCCUCACCUUUUCCAAAACUGGUUUGCACUUUGCAGUGAACCAGAUCUUACAAACAUAUCGCAGGACUGGGGAACCUUCAGCCCUCCAGAAGUGGUGAAACUAGAACUCCUAUCAUCCCCGCCCACUGGGAUUGUAGUUCAGCAACAUCUGAUGGGCCAAAGGUUCCCCUUCUUGACAUAUCGUAAGAUGCCGUCCCACAAUUCUGUCCAGCUAAGUCCCCCUUCAACAUUUACACUCCUAAUUUGUCUUUUUGUUUGGUCUUCUCCAAGUACUUUUUGUAGGAUUGGAAUGUUUGCAUUGCCUGAUACAUUAAAUGUUCUACCCAGCAGUAAAAUCCAUAGUUCACAUCUAUUAACGACCAUCCAAUUAGGCCUCAAAAAUCCUAUGCCUACUGAAAUAUUCUGUAAAACUUGCAGUAAUCCUCAUUUAUUAUAUUUUGGAAACUUUUUUUUUUUAAGCUACACUAAUCUUGUCAAGUGUUUCAUUUUUCAAGCUUUACAACACUGUUGGCGAAAGAAAUACUGGGUGCCUUAAUGUAGGCUGCUAGGAGUGUGGGAAAAUAACCUUUACGUUGUGUAGCUCUCCAAUUUUACUGCCUAUUUAUGCUUCCAUCUUUAAAGCUAAUGGGCAUCUUUAAAGGAGAACAUUUUCAAAUUGCAAAUUAAUUGUGUUGUGAGAGAUGGUAAAGCAUUAAUUUCUUGUUUCUUAGUUGACCUUAUUGUCCUUAAAUUACAGCCCUCAAGACACUAUUCCCACUGAAGGCAGACCGCUCAAGCAUAAAUAGCACCUGAAUUUUAAUCACCAAUUCUUGUUACUGUUAAGUCAGUGCAUGUACGAAACCCUGUCUAAAUAGCAACGUGAAAUGUGGUGCACAGGAUAACAAGGUCAUUGAAACCAAUUUGGGUUUUUUUCCAUUUUAACUUGUUCCACAUUGUCGCUAAAAGCUGGAAUGUUUGAAGUCCUGGGUGGAGACAAAUAAUGAAAUGUUCCAAGUUGAAUGUUCCUGCCACAGCUUCACCUUGUGGAGUUGUUUCAUAGCUCAAGAUUAAAGGAAGCACUAGAAUUACCAUGCUGGCUGAAGAAAAUGAUGGUAAGCCACACAACCUUGCAGAAUAUUCAGGACUCGGGGUGUGGGGUUUUCUGGUCAUUUAACUGACAUACUUUUUUCCACCUCUGAACUUAGGCAAGGAUGUGUCCUUGCUGAUUUUAUUUAUACUUGGCCGAUCUUCCCACAUAUUUGGGCUCAACAUCUUCACACCCUCCUAAACUCACCACUAUCAAUGUUUACAUUUUCUUAUGCACAGAUGAUGCUGUCUUAAUCUCACAAUGCCGGCUAGGGCUCUGUCCACUGGAGAUGACUGCAGGAAAUAAUUUAUAACUAUUAACUUUGUGAAGUCAAAGGUAAUGGUGUUUUCAAAAAGGAAGACCAAGUAUUCCUGGGCCAUGGAUAGCCACAGAUUAGAACAAGUUGAUUUCUGCAGCUAUUUCAGGAUCUGGUUUCAUGACUGUCAACAAUUGGACUGCGCUUGACAAAUUAGCAAAGGCAAAAGCAGGGCAUACGGUAAGAGCAUUACUUUGAUUUUGUUUCCCCUUCACAAAAGGUGGUGAAUCCGUUCCAGCAGCAAUAUGAGUGAACACAGCAAAAGCUGUGAAGCAGAUUUUAUACGGUGCCUCAAUCUGGUUACUCUCAGAGUAUGUUGGAAGCUGAAAUGGAAAUGGAGGUGAUCUGAGUGCAACAGAGAGGUGAGUGUGGAUCCUGCCUGAAGCCUGGUCGUGGGCUAGGGCCAUGCCAGGACCCACUGGGGACCUAUAUCAUAGGGCUCCCCCUGCUGGUGGUUUACCCUUAGUGUGACUCCCUGCAGACAGGCAGGAGAUAGGAUAUAGUCUGGUUCCACCCAGUAUCAAACCACUCACAUCUGUAACCAAUAAAGUUGUGGCCUAUUUUUGCCCAUUAACCUAAA